UAAGGGCAUUCCCUAGUAGCGGCGAGCGAGCGGGAAGAGCUCAAAUUUAUAAUCUGGCACCUUCGGUGUCCGAGUUGUAAUCUCUAGAAAUGUUUUCCGCGUUGGACCGCACACAAGUCUGUUGGAAUACAGCGGCAUAGUGGUGAGACCCCCGUAUAUGGUGCGGACGCCCAGCGCUUUGUGAUACAUUUUCGAAGAGUCGAGUUGUUUGGGAAUGCAGCUCAAAUUGGGUGGUAAAUUCCAUCUAAAGCUAAAUAUUGGCGAGAGACCGAUAGCGAACAAGUACCGUGAGGGAAAGAUGAAAAGCACUUUGGAAAGAGAGUUAACAGUACGUGAAAUUGUUGGAAGGGAAACGCUUGAAGUCAGACUUGCUUGCCGAGCAAUCGGUUUGCAGGCCAGCAUCAGUUUUCCGGGAUGGAUAAUGGUAGAGAGAAGGUAGCAGUUUCGGCUGUGUUAUAGCUCUCUGCUGGAUACAUCUUGGGGGACUGAGGAACGCAGUGUGCCUUUGGCGGGGGUUUCGACCUCUUCACACUUAGGAUGCUGGUGGAAUGGCUUU
rnacentral:rRNA from 1 species